rnacentral:lncRNA from 1 species
CUAAAUAAAAAGUUGGACACAAAAAAAAAAAGAGAAGGACUAAAAUGCUAUUAGACCUUCAUGGGUAAUCAUUGUAGCAGCACGGUGUAGAAUAUUACAUAUCACAGAGACACGUUAGCUAGCUAGCUACAACACACAGGUAUUGUUACUCCAAGACCAGUCAUGAGGCUACAGUACAUUUUGGAUAUAGCAAACAAAGCUAGCUCAACUUGUAGUGGUAUUCGCAAGCCCCGACAUGGCCGAAUCGAUCACAAAAAAAGUAUAUAAUGUAUUGAACAACACUGCCUUGUGUAAAAAGAGAGCUUUUAUGUUGCUAGACAGCUAUAGACAGAACGCUCAGGAUGUCAGACUGGACCUUAGACUGACUUCUUUGUGAUUUGCCCGCGGAUCUUGAAGGUUCUGAACAACAUCUCUUGACUUCUCAACCGCCUGGUAGAGCUCCGUUACUCCCCCCAAAAAACAUAAAGUUGAAAAAAAACUAUUGGAAGAUCUUAUUUGAGUAGUUAGUAGUAGGAAUUUAGGCUGAAAUAAUGUUUGAACAUGUUUUUUUAAGAAGAGACAGUUAAAGGGUAAAGAUAACUCAAACACAGUAAUGGGGUGUAACGGCUGUCUUCGGGUAGAGAGGACCAAAACGCAGCAGGAAUGUGGAUGCUCAUCUUGAAUAUUUAUUUUAAAUAAAGUGAACACCAAAACGAAGAACGACAGACCGACAGUUUAACAGGCUAUACUUACUACAGCAGUGCUAAAGACAACUACCCACAAAAUACCAAACCAAACACACACCUAUAUAUAGGACUCUCAUUCAGAGGCAACUAGAAACACCUGCCUCCAAUUGAGUCCAACACCCAAUCCUAAACAUAGAAAAACUAAACUAGACAGAACAUAGAAAUACAUAGAAAACACAAACCCUCUGCCACGUCCUGACUAAAACUAAUACAAUUACUCCCUCUGCUGGUCAGGACGUGACAUGGGGACAAAGUGGAGAGGUCUGGGGUGGCUUCCCCUUAGUAGAAUAAUGACAAAUUUUUCCCUUGAUCCUGGCUAGUCUCCCAGUCCCUGCCGCUGAAAAACAUCCCCACGGCAUGAUGUUGCCACCACCAUGCUUCACCGUAGGGAUGGUGCCAGGUUUCUUACAGAUGUGAAGCUUGGCAUUCAGGGCAAAGAGUUUAAUCUUUGUUUCAUCAGACCAGAGAAUCUUGUUUCUUGGCCACUCCACCAUAAAGGCCUGAUUGGUGGAGUGCUGCAGAGAUGGUUGUCCUUCUGGAAGAUUCUCCCAUCUCCACAGAGGAACUCUGGAGCUCUGUCAGAGUGACCAUCAGGUUCUUGGUCACCUCCUUGACCAAGACCCAUCUCCCCUGAUUGCUCAGUUUGGCCGGGCGGCCAGCUCUAGGAAGAGUCUUGGUGGUUCCAAACUUCUUCCGUUUAAGAAUGAUGGAGGCCACUGUGUUCUUGGAGACCUUCAAUGCUGCAGACAUUUUUUGGUACCCUUCCUCAAAUCUGUGUCACGACAUAAUCCUGUCUCUGAGCUUUACGGACAAUUCCUUCGACCUCAUGGCUUGGUUUUUGCUCUGACAUGCACUGUCAACUGUGUGACCAUAUAUAGACAGGUGUGUGUGCCUUUCCAAAUCAUGUCCAAUCAAUAGAAUUUACCACAGGUGGACUCCAAUGAAGUUGUAGAAACAUCUCAAGGAUGAUCAAUGGAAACAGGAUGCACCUGAGCUCAAUUUCGAGUCUCAUGGCAAAGGGUCUGAAUAUUUCUGUAAAUUAGGUAUUUCUGUUAUUUAUUUUUAAUAAAUGUGCAAAAAUGUUUAAAAAAAAUGUUUUUGCUUUGUCAUUAUGGGGUUUUGUGUGUAGAUUGAUGAGGGAAAUGUUUUAUUUAAUCCAUUUUAGAAUAAGUCUGUAACGUAACAAAACGUGGAAAAAGUCAAGGACUUUGAAUACUUUCUGAAUGCACUGUAUAAAUCAAAUAGAAUGCCAUUUAUUUGGGGGUCUUGGGACACCAACACUGUAAUUGAAAGUGUCAGCCAGGGAUAUUUUAGUGAUUUUACAGCAUGAAUGUUGAUUCUGCUCUGCUCUCCUCGCCACAAUGGAACAGAAUACAUGAAUAGACACAGAAUAGAAAAGAGGAAAGCAACUAGAACUAAAGUGUGGAAUUGAAUACCAAUGAACUUUUUAAUUGCCUGUGCUAGUUGGAAUAUUCAGAAAUUUGGGAAGAAAAUAGAAAGGGGGCGAUUGUGUGUGGAGAGAGAGAGACACAGAGAGAGAGAGACAGAGAGAGAGAGACACAGAGAGAGAGAGACACAGAGAGAGAGAGAGUGAGAGACAGAGAUAGAGAGACACAGAGAGAGAGAGAGAGAGAGAGAGAGAGAGAGAGAGAGAGAGAGAGAGAGAGAGAGACAGAGAGAGACAGAGAGACACACAGAGAGAGAGACACAGAGAGAGACACAGAGAGAGAGAGAGAGAGAGAGAGAGAGAGAGAAAGACAGAGAGAGACAGAGAAAGACAGAGAGAGACAGAGAAAGACAGAGAGAGACAGAGAGAGAGACAGAGAGAGAGAGAAGAGAGAGAGAGAGACACAGAGACAGAGAGAGUUAAAGACAGAGAGACAGAGAGAGCGAGACAGAGAGAGAGAGAGAGAGAGAGAGAGAGACACAGAGACAGAGAGAGUUAGAGACAGAGAGACAAAGACAGAGAGAGAGAGAGAGAGAGAGAGAAGUGGAGACAGAGAGACAGAGAGAGAUACAGAGAGAGAGAGAGAGAAAAGAUGUCCACAUAGUUUUGGCCAUGUAGUGUAGCUACACACCGGUCACUGGACAGACCUGAAAUCAAACCACACAUCCCCAGAGUAAAAUCACAAUGUGAUUGUUAUAUUGAUGGACCAACAUUUCCUGAGGUAACACUGGGUUAGCUUCAAUCCCAGCUCUCUGAAGAGACAACACCCGUGUUGCAGUGCCACCAUGCCAGCUGUCCCUGGAUCUAGAGAGAAAGGAGAGAGAGAGAAAGAGAGAGAGAGAAAGAGAAAGGAGAGCGAAAGGAGAGAGAAAGAGAACAAAAGGGACACACUGGGCUCUGACUCAUCCAGGUUGGGCUGAGUCCCUUACAGUAUGUGUCACAGCUGGUCUCCCAGAGGAAUGAGGGAUUAUAUGAUUCAAAUCACAUGUUAUUGGUCACAGACAGGUGAUUAGCAGAUGUUAUUGGUCACAGACAGGUGAUUAGCAGAUGUUAUUGGUCACAGACAGGUGAUUAACAGAUGUUAUUGGUCACAGACACGUGAUUAGCAGAUGUUAUUGCGGGUGUAGUGAAAUGCUUGUGCUUCUAGCUUCCGACGGUGCAGUAAUAUCUAACAAAUUACACAACAUAUACCCACACAUCUAAGUAGGAAUGAAUUAAGACUAUAUACAUAUGGACGAGUGAUGUCAGAGUGGAACGGACUAAGAUACAGUAGAAUAGUAUAGAAAACAGUAUUUACAUAUGAGAUGAGUAACGCCAGAUAUGUAAACAUUAUUAAAGGGACUAAGAUAUCGUAGAAUAGUAUAGAAUACAGUAUUUACAUAUGAGAUGAGUAAUGCCAGAUAUGUAAACAUUAGUAAAGUGACUAGUGUUCCAUUAUUAAAGUAGCCAGUGAUUUCUCGUCUAUGCCUCAAGGCAGCAGCCUCUAAUGUGCUAGUUCCUCUACUUAUCAACAGCCAUGAAUAAUGUGUUGAUAUGAAUAUGACUGACGUGCAAAAGUAUCCACCUGACCAGUCAGCACACCUGUAUGUAAAUAGCCCUGUAGGUAGUUAGUAAUGGCGUUGGAACAAUUCUAAAUGAAAUAUGAGUGUAUUACUAGACAUGCAAGUUCAAUGGACUGUAAAUCUGUUGUGUGGUACACAUUACAAGUCUAUUAUUGCAAGGGAUAACAGGGAUGAGGAUGAGGCUGUGUAAAUAUAAUGAAUAUUGUACUCAGAACUUCUCUUUUUGUUUUUGAAAACACACAAACAGUAACUGUGAAAUCUGAAUUUGCAUGAACAUAAAAUCUUAAACAUUUCUCAUCUCAGCCAUCGUCUUUUAUUUUCAAAACGAGGUCAAAACAUUAUUCCAACAGAAUAAUUGGGAGGAAAAUUGUUUAAUUAUGUUUUCUUGAACUUCCAAAAGUCUUAAUGUGCUGCUACAGAGGUUUUGUAUAAUUUUAGCCCGUUGUUUUAAAAGCAGUCUUCACGAGCCAAAACAGGUCCCCAAAAAUUGUGCACAGUGUCAUCCAUUUCCUAUGAUAUGUUACAUCCUGCAAAAUCUAAAUAUUGUUUUCCUGCAAUUUGUAUAUGUUAUGAAUUCCAAUUCGUACAAUAUGUUCCAAAUUUAUAAGAUCACAUUCAAGCUCUUUAACAAUUUAUGUUCUCUCUCUGAUCUCUCUCUCUGUUCUCUCUCUGUUCUCUCUCUGUUCUCUCUCUCUCUUCUUUUGCUGUUCUCUCUCUCUUCUAUUUCUGUUCUCUCUCUUCUAUUUCUGUUCUCUCUCUCUUUGUUCUCUCUCUCUCUUCUAUUUCUGUUCUAUUUCGAUUCUCUCUCUCUUCUCUCUGUUCUCUAUCUUUCUCUUCUCUUUCUGUUCUCUCUCGGUUCUCUCCGUUCUCUCUCUCUCUCUUCUCUUUCUGUUCUCUCUCUGUUCUCUCUCUUCUCUCUCUCUCUUCUAUUUCUGUUCUCUCUCUGUUCUCUCUGUUCUCUCUCUCGCUCUCUCUCUGAUCUAUUUCUGUUCUCUCUCUCUCUUCUCUUUCUGUUCUCUCUUCUCUGAUCUAUUUAUGUUCUGUCUCUCUCUCUUCUCUCUCUGUACUCUCUCUCUCUGUUCUCUCUCUCUCUGUUCUCUCUCUGUUCUCUCUCUGUUCUCUCUCUCUGUUCUCUCUCUCUGUUCUCUCUCUCUGUCUCUCUCUCUGUUCUCUCUCUCUGUUCUCUUUCUGUUCUCUCUCUGUGCUGUCCCUUUUCACAGUCUCUCCACAGUCACCGCUGUGCCCAUCCUUCUAAAUUUACUCCAGCUCAGACAGUCAAAGAAAGUGAGAGGACACAGUCACAGACAGGUCACAGCCUAAACAUUACAACACUGUGGGGUGGUGUCCACUAAACUUUGUGGGGUGGUGUCCACUAAGCUCUGCAGGGUGGUGUCCACUAAGCUCUGCAAGGUGGUGUCCACUAAGCUCUGCAGGGUGGUGUCCACUAAGCUUUGCGGGGUGGGGUCCACUAAGCUCUGCAGGGUGGGGUCCACUAAACUCUGCAGGGUGGUGUCCACUAAGCUCUGCAGGGUGGUGUCCACUAAGCUCUGCAGGGUGGUGUCCAC